UACGUAGGGGGCAAGCGUUGUCCGGAAUUAUUGGGCGUAAAGAGCGCGUAGGCGGUCCGGUAAGGCCGCUGUGAAAGUCGAGGGCUCAACCCUCGAAUGCCGGUGGAUACUGUCGGGCUUGAGUACGGGAGAGGCGAGUGGAUUCCUGGUGUAGCGGUGAAAUGCGCAGAUAUCAGGAGGAACACCGAUUGCGAAGGCAGCUCGCUGGAACGUUACUGACGCUGAGACGCGAAAGCGUGGGGAGCAAACAGG
rnacentral:rRNA from 1 species